CAAAUCUCAUGCAAAGAAACAGUGUCAGCUCAAAGAUGUCUUUCUUGCAAUCCAUAUUUUGCAAUCUGUAAUUAUCCUUAUUGUGGAUGUAUAAAGCAGCCCUGCAAUCCUGAGCCACAGACCCAUUUUGGCCACCACAGGCACCAAUGCCAGCCCUGCUGCAGGCAGAGGAAGCUGCCCACGUUUGCUGCAGCAAAAGGCUCCAGUUGCAGCUCAUGCUGGACACAGCAAGAGCAAGGAGCAGGUAAAGACAGCCAGCCAUCAAUAGGAGAAGCUGUGCCUCUAAACCUGCAAACACUGCCUGCCUGACAUGCUCAGGAUGAAGUUCCUGCCUGUUCCCUCACUCAGGAUGAAGUUCAUGCCUGUUCUCCCAUGUGUGAACACCUCUGUGCCAAAUUCUGUUGACAGAAACUCAAUCCUCGAGUAUUUUUACUCUGUGAACUAAACAGUGUAAUUUACACUUUGUAACUUUUUAUGGUACCUGUAAAAUAUGAAUGUCAGUUGCUUCAAUGAUAGCUGUGGCAAGGACCGUGAGAUAAUAAAGGUUUGUACCAAAGGGGUCUUGUGCUGACU
rnacentral:lncRNA from 1 species